CACCAGGAGUGGAGCUUGCGGCUUAAUUUGACUCAACGCGGGGAAACUCACUUGGUCAGGACACUGUGAGGAUUGACAGAUUGAAAGCUCUUUCUUGAUUCGGUGGAUGGUGGUGCAUGGCCGUUCUUAGUUGGUGGAGUGAUUUGUCUGGUUAAUUCCGAUAACGAACGAGACUCUAUCUUGCUAACUAGUCACAGGAUUAUUCUGACUGUGGAGCUUCUUAGAAGGACAGGGGGUUACAACCCCACGAGAUUGAGCAAUAACAGGUCUGUGAUGCCCUUAGAUGUCCAAGGCUGCACGCGUGCUACACUGAAUGCGUCAGCAUGUGAACCUAACUCGGAGGAGUCUGGGGAACCCUUUGAAACGUAUUCGUGCUUGGGAUUGGGACUUGUAAUUAUUUCCCACGAACGAGGAAUUCCUAGUAAGCGCGAGUCAACAUCUCGUGCUG
rnacentral:rRNA from 1 species